rnacentral:rRNA from 1 species
GAUGAACGCUAGCGGCAGGCCUAACACAUGCAAGUCGAGGGGUAACUAGAGUGAUAGCAAUAUUACUUUGGCUAGACCGGCGCACGGGUGCGUAACACGUAUGCAACCUACCUUAUACUGGGGAAUAACUUCGAGAAAUCGGCGCUAAUACCCCAUAACACUGCGGAGAGGCAUCUCUUUGCAGUUAAAGCUCCGGCGGUAUAAGAUGGGCAUGUGUCCAAUUAGCUAGUUGGUGAGGUAACGGCUCACCAAGGCUACGAUUGGUUGGGGUUCUGGGAGGAUGAUCCCCCACACUGGUACUGAGACACGGACCAGACUCCUACGGGAGGCAGCAGUGAGGAAUAUUGCGCAAUGGACGAAAGUCUGACGCAGCCAUGCCGCGUGCAGGAUGACGGCCCUAUGGGUUGUAAACUGCUUUUGUACGGGAAUAAACCCUUCUACGUGUAGGAGGCUGAAGGUACCGUAAGAAUAAGCACCGGCUAACUCCGUGCCAGCCGCCGCAGUAA